rnacentral:rRNA from 1 species
UACGUAGGGUCCGAGCGUUGUCCGGAAUUAUUGGGCGUAAAGGGCUCGUAGGCGGUCUGUCGCGUCGAAAGUGAAAACCCAGGGCUUAACCCUGGGCCUGCUUCCGAUACGGGCAGACUAGAGGUAUGCAGGGGGAGAACGGAAUUCCUGGUGUAGCGGUGAAAUGCGCAGAUAUCAGGAGGAACACCGGUGGCGAAGGCGGGGUCUCUGGGCAACAACUGACGCU